GGGGGCCAUGAGCUGAGAAGGUUGAGAACUACUGAUUUAAAGGGCCGUUUUUGGCCCCUGUGUCGUGAAUUUGACAUACGUGUGUUAAAUACGUUAUUUUAAUGUAUAUUUAUUGACCUAUACACUGUAAAUGAGGUUGUGCUCAGUCACACACUGACUCACACAUACCUAAAAUAGUGUGUAUGUACAUGAAGGAGGAAUGGAGGCGAGUUGAGACACAGCUUUCUUUUAUUUUGGUAGUCUUUCUCCUUCUCUUCGCUAUAAAUAGGCAGGCAUUGGCAGCUGAGGGCCAGUCCACGCAGAACAAAUGCCCCCCACCCCCGGGGUGUUUUUCUCCGUUCCCCACAUAAUGAGCUGGACAGAAUGAGCACAGAAGAUCACCACUUGUCCCUCAACCAUUGCCAGGGCCACACGUUGCCUAGGAGAUGUAUGGAGUAUGGGGGGGACCCUCCUUCCACUCUGGACUUUGGAUUCUCCUCCACCAAUCUGUUUGAUCAAACACCAUCUGUGAUGUCAUGGAGUGGGUAUCCCUCUCUCUCUCUCUCUCUCUCAGCUUCCUCUGCUAACAGAUUCCAGACCAGUGAACCGGGUCAUGUUCGGCUCCAGUGGCUGCAGCUGCACAAACUGAAGCUGCCCUGGACCUACACACCGAGGGGAUCGCCCCCAAGGCAACCAGGAGACAAGACAAGCACCAAGCCAUACCCGAAGAGAAGGGGCACCCCCACCCCCUGCAAGGCUGACACCGCCCAGAGAGACCCCGCCGCCUAGAGGCCCACCGCCCCGCCACUGAUGUAUUUGUGCUCUACACUGUGGCGCAGCCAUCUACAGAGGGGCCGGGCCCCCACACGACAGGCCUACAUAUGUGAACUGACCCACCAUCCUGUUAUGGUACCUCUCUAUUCCCCAAUGGAGUGAAUGUGUGUGUUUAGUGAAUGUAUGAGGUGCAAUUAAAAGAAAGGGGACGGGGGGAGCGACCCAACCUUUGUGUAUAUAUGUGUAUGUGGUGCUUUAGCUCUGGAGGGUGGAGGCGGUGGUCAUACCCUCCGGGGGGUGGUGUGUUGAAGUGUGAUUAAAAUUGGAGGGAUUGGUAGAGCACAUUCAGGUGGGAGUGCCGCCCCCAUGCCACUACAUGAUAGCAUACACGCUCCCCCACCCUUAGUAACUCUGUAAGAUGAUCAUUUAAACCGUAAAAGUGGCAUUGCUAAUGAUACUGUAAGUGCUGUAAACAUACGGCCGGAAAAAAAGUGACCAACCCACUCUCCCCCCUGUCACCCGGCUACACACACACACACACACACCUGGUCAUCACUUCACUGGAGCGAUGAAGUGAUGAGUGACCAAAAAACACCACUAUGCUCAAGCAACUCAUCAGGGGCGAUUGAAGUGACUGCACUCGCUGCAGUCGUGUUCGGUGUGAACCCACCUUAGAGUAGAAGGUGGUCAGAAAGAUAGUCGUAGGCGAUUCCGCCCGCUGCCUGCAUUUCUGGACACCCCUGCAGAAUUAAUCAAUACUGAAGCUUGUGUGAAUUUGGUCGAACACACGUUGUACGCUCAGAUCUGAAUGUACAAC
rnacentral:lncRNA from 1 species